rnacentral:rRNA from 1 species
UGGGGAAUAUUGCACAAUGGAGGGAACUCUGAUGCAGCGACGCCGCGUGAGUGAUGAAGGAAUUCGUUUCGUAAAACUCUGUUCUAUGGGAAGAAAAGGACUGUACCAUAGGAGAAAGCUCCGGCUAAAUACGUGCCAGCAGCCGCGGUAAUACAUAUGGAGCGAGCGUUGUCCGGAAUUAUUGGGCGUAAAGGGUGCGCAGGCGGCUUUACAAGUUGGAUGUGAAAUAUUGUGGCUCAACCACAAACGUGCAUCCAAAACUGCAAAGCUUGAGUUAAGGAGAGGUAAGUGGAAUUCCUGGUGUAGCGGUGGAAUGCGUAGAUAUCAGGAGGAAUACCGGUGGCGAAGGCGACUUACUGGACUUAAACUGACGCUCAGGCACGAAAGCGUGGGGAGCAAACAGG